rnacentral:rRNA from 1 species
UUCGAGUGGCGGACGGGUGAGUAACGCGUGGGUAACCUGCCUUACACAGGGGGAUAACACCUGGAAACAGGUGCUAAUACCGCAUAAGCGCACAGGGCCGCAUGGCCCGGUGUGAAAAACUCCGGUGGUGUAAGAUGGACCCGCGUCUGAUUAGCUUGUUGGCGGGGUAGGGGCCCACCAAGGCGACGAUCAGUAGCCAGCCUGAGAGGGUGGACGGCCACAUUGGGACUGAGACACGGCCCAAACUCCUACGGAAGGCAGCAG